UGGGGGACUUAACUUGCUGGCCACUACCAGGGAUGCUACUGUGCUGGAGUGGGUCGUACAGGAACCUUCAUCGCCAUUGAUCGCAUCAUCUUCCAGAUCGAGCGUGAAAGCAUAGCGGAUGUGUUUGGCAUCACCUAUGACAUGCGUAUGCACCGGCCGCUCAUGGUCCAGACAGAGGACCAGUAUGUGUUUCUUAACCAAUGUGCUUUGGACGUCAUAAAGUCAAGAAUGGGCACCAAUGUGGACCUGAUCUACCAAAACACAGGAGCAAUGGACAUUUACGAGAACCUUAAGCCUAAUUUACCAUAAUUUAAGACUGUAUAUGUAUGGUGAUUCAUACAUUUAACAGAACUGGAUGUCCAUUACACAACUUCAUUUAAUUGUUCAACAACAUAGAAAUAUAUUUAUUCUUCUAAGGAUUUGUAAAUAUUUAUUAGUGAAAUGGAAGGAUAGUUUGAUAGAAGAAUACAUACAGAGGGAGAGAUAUAGAGAAAGAGAGGACGAAGUAAUUGUAUCAGGGCAGAAUAUCUUAAAUGUAUGUAGACAUUCAACAUAGACCAGGUAUACAUUUUUAUUAAGAUAAGAUUGUAGAGCUUAGAGUUUUUGUGGGCUUUUGCGUUUGGUGGUUUGCGUUACUGUAUCCUGCCUUACUGUCUAUGCACUGAUUUUCUAAUAACUGCCUAAAAUUGUUACUGUGAGAUGUAUAUUUUCCUUUAUGCUGAUACACUUCAUGCUUCUAAUGUACUUGCACUUAAUGACCACUGGGGGGACAUGUUGUACCCUUUGUUUUAUGAAACUCUUUCAGACUGUUGUGUUGGGACCAUUUUUCAAUGACAUCAUGCUAUGUUAUCCAUUGCUAUUUAAAUGUCUUCCACUUUAAUUCAAAGGGAUGAAUCUACUGGAGUCUGAAGUCUACAUUACACAAGGUGUAAAGUUUUUUUACCACCCUCUAGUGCCUGCAUGUUAAUAAUUAUACGAUAAUUUAAGAUGUCUGUUAAUAAUGAAUAGCUGGUUCACUGUAGGUACACUCCUGUUUCCCCUCAGAGGUGCAGCGGUAGAAGGUACAAUUGUGUCAUAAGUUUUAUGUCACAUGUUUUAUAUGUUUUUAAGCUGUUGCUCCAACCACUCCCAAGCUAUGACUCCAAUUAAUGUACAAUACAUUUCAAUACAUUUUAUUAUUUGUUUUAAAAUAAAAUCAUUAGCAGACAUAUGACACAUCAUGAGAUGUAAACUUGAAACAGGUUUAAGAAAGCCAUGGAAGGAUUCAAGAGAUUCUUUUAA